GACAGAGGGUGCAAGCGUUGUUCGGAAUUACUGGGCGUAAAGGGCUCGUAGGCGGCCAACUAAGUCAGACGUGAAAUCCCUCGGCUUAACCGGGGAACUGCAUCUGAUACUGGAUGGCUUGAGUUCGGGAGAGGGAUGCGGAAUUCCAGGUGUAGCGGUGAAAUGCGUAGAUAUCUGGAGGAACACCGGUGGCGAAGGCGGCAUCCUGGACCGACACUGACGCUGAGGAGCGAAAGCCAGGGGAGCAAACGGG
rnacentral:rRNA from 1 species